rnacentral:rRNA from 1 species
AGAGUUUGAUCCUGGCUCAGGAUGAACGCUGGCGGCGUGCCUAAUACAUGCAAGUCGAGCGAACGGACGAGAAGCUUGCUUCUCUGAUGUUAGCGGCGGACGGGUGAGUAACACGUGGAUAACCUACCUAUAAGACUGGGAUAACUUCGGGAAACCGGAGCUAAUACCGGAUAAUAUUUUGAACCGCAUGGUUCAAAAGUGAAAGACGGUCUUGCUGUCACUUAUAGAUGGAUCCGCGCUGCAUUAGCUAGUUGGUAAGGUAACGGCUUACCAAGGCAACGAUGCAUAGCCGACCUGAGAGGGUGAUCGGCCACACUGGAACUGAGACACGGUCCAGACUCCUACGGGAGGCAGCAGUAGGGAAUCUUCCGCAAUGGGCGAAAGCCUGACGGAGCAACGCCGCGUGAGUGAUGAAGGUCUUCGGAUCGUAAAACUCUGUUAUUAGGGAAGAACAUAUGUGUAAGUAACUGUGCACAUCUUGACGGUACCUAAUCAGAAAGCCACGGCUAACUACGUGCCAGCAGCCGCGGUAAUACGUAGGUGGCAAGCGUUAUCCGGAAUUAUUGGGCGUAAAGCGCGCGUAGGCGGUUUUUUAAGUCUGAUGUGAAAGCCCACGGCUCAACCGUGGAGGGUCAUUGGAAACUGGAAAACUUGAGUGCAGAAGAGGAAAGUGGAAUUCCAUGUGUAGCGGUGAAAUGCGCAGAGAUAUGGAGGAACACCAGUGGCGAAGGCGACUUUCUGGUCUGUAACUGACGCUGAUGUGCGAAAGCGUGGGGAUCAAACAGGAUUAGAUACCCUGGUAGUCCACGCCGUAAACGAUGAGUGCUAAGUGUUAGGGGGUUUCCGCCCCUUAGUGCUGCAGCUAACGCAUUAAGCACUCCGCCUGGGGAGUACGACCGCAAGGUUGAAACUCAAAGGAAUUGACGGGGACCCGCACAAGCGGUGGAGCAUGUGGUUUAAUUCGAAGCAACGCGAAGAACCUUACCAAAUCUUGACAUCCUUUGACAACUCUAGAGAUAGAGCCUUCCCCUUCGGGGGACAAAGUGACAGGUGGUGCAUGGUUGUCGUCAGCUCGUGUCGUGAGAUGUUGGGUUAAGUCCCGCAACGAGCGCAACCCUUAAGCUUAGUUGCCAUCAUUAAGUUGGGCACUCUAAGUUGACUGCCGGUGACAAACCGGAGGAAGGUGGGGAUGACGUCAAAUCAUCAUGCCCCUUAUGAUUUGGGCUACACACGUGCUACAAUGGACAAUACAAAGGGCAGCGAAA